UGCAUAUCAAUAAGCGGAGGAAAAGAAACUAACAAGGAUUGCCCUAGUAACGGCGAGCGAACCGGCAAAAGCCCAACUUGAAAAUCUCCCUUUGGAGAAUUGUAGUCUAUAGAAGUACCCUCUGCAACGGGCGGAACCUAAGUCUCCUGGAAAGGAGCGUCAGAGAGGGUGAGAACCCCGUCGGAUCCUGCCUUGUUGCCUCACGAGGUGCUUUCGAAGAGUCGGGUUGCUUGGGAAUGCAGCCCUAAUUUGGUGGUAAAUCCCAUCUAAGGCUAAAUAUUGGCGAGAGACCGAUAGCGAACAAGUACCGUGAGGGAAAGAUGAAAAGAACUUUGAAAAGAGAGUUAAAAAGUGCUUGAAAUUGUUGAGGGGGAAGCGUUUGAAUGCUCGGGUGCGCCUAGGCUUAUGUAGUCUUAACGGGCUGCUGUAUGUGCUAGGUGCUGGCCAGCAUGGGUUGGAUUGGCAGGAUAAAAGUUGGGAUUGUUACCCGGCCUAUACUGCCGAUCCGACCAAGGCGUGAAGACUGCCCUUGUCCUUCGGGAACUGCAGUCUCAAGAUGCUGGCGAAAAGCUUUCAACCGACCCGUCUUGAAACACGGACCAAGGAGUCUAACAUGUAUGCGAGCUGGUGGGUGGAAAACCCAUGAAGCGCAAGUAACCUGACUGGUGGGAUGGCCUGUGCCUGCACCAUCGACCGACCAUGAGCUUCUGCGAAAGGUUUGAGUACGAGCAUACCUGUUGGGACCCGAAAGAUGGUGAACUAUGCCUGAGCAGGGCGAAGCCAGAGGAAACUCUGGUGGAGGCUCGUAGAUGUGCUGACGUGCAAAUCGCUUUUCGGACUUGGGUAUAGGGGCGAAAGACUAAUCGAACCAUCUAGUAUUGGUGGUAGCAGGCUUGAAAAGAGCCCUGCUAGUGGCGUAGGCAAUGCCGAAUCUCCUUUAUGGGGAGCGCUGCAAGAUCGUCGUAUUGCCGGGACGACUCGCUAUGCCAGCGGUACGGCCUCACAUGGGAAACUGUGUGACGGCACCAGGGCGAAAGUCAUGGGUAUCGUAACAAUCCGCUGGAUAGAGUCAAUCGGCAGCAAAGUCCUAAGGGCUUGUAAAAGCCAAUGGAUGAAGUUCACAGACUAAGUGGCGAUCGGUGAGCAACAGCUUGCUUAAGAUAUAGUCGGGCCGCACCGAGAGGUGAGCCCAUAGGAGGAAUCGACACAAGACCUUGUCGAGGAGAGCCUAUGGGGACUGGGGAUAGUACUUCGCACGAAGGGCCUUGUGCCUCCCAGUCGGACCAACCGCUAGUAGCUGGUUUCCUCCGAAGUUUCCCCCAGGAUAGCUGGAGCUUGUAUCAGUUCAGUCAGGUAAAGCGAAUGAUUAGAGGUUCGGGGAAUGAAACAUUCUUCACCUAUUCUCAAACUUUAAAUAGGCUGGACGUCUCGGUUGCUUAAUUGAACCGCGGCAUUCAAUGAGAGUUCCAAGUGGGCCAUUUUUGGUAAGCAGAACUGGCGAUGCGGGAUGAACCGAUAGUCGAGUUAAGGUGCCAAACUACGCGCUAACCUAGAUCCCACAAAGGGUGUUGAUUGAUAUAGACAGCAGGACGGUGGUCAUGGAAGUCGAAAUCCGCUAAGGAGUGUGUAACAACUCACCUGCCGAAUCAAUUAGCCCCGAAAAUGGAUGGCGCUGAAGCGCGUGACCUAUACUCGGCCAUGGAAGUAAGUGCGAGACUUCCAUGAGUAGGAGGACGUGGAUAUCGUUGCGCAGCCUGGGGCGUGAGCCUGGGUGAAACGGUAUCUAGUGCAGAUCUUGGUGGUAGUAGCAAAUAUUCAAAUGAGAACUUUGAAGACUGAAGUGGAGAAAGGUUCCAUGUGAACAGCAAUUGGACAUGGGUUAGUCGAUCCUAAGAGAUGGGGUAAUCCUGUAUCAAGAGCGCGAUUAGCGCUGCCCAUCGAAAGGGAAAAGGGUUAAGAUUCCCUUACCUGGACAAGGCGGCUGACGGUAACGUAAACAAGCCUGCAGACAUCGGCAUUGGCCCUGGGAAGAGUUCUCUUUUCUUUUUAACAGCUCGAAGGCCCUGGAAUCGAAUCAUUCGGAGAUAGGGCUCAGAAGCUGGUAAAGCACCGCACGUCUCGCGGUGUCCGGAGCGCCAAUGACGGUCCUUGAAAAUGCAGGGGCGCAGCUACCGAUCUUGCCAGGUCGUACUCAUAACCGCAUCAGGUCUCCAAGGUGAACAGCCUCUAGUCGAUAGAACAAUGUAGAUAAGGGAAGUCGGCAAAAUGGAUCCGUAACUUCGGGAAAAGGAUUGGCUCUGAGGGUUGGGCCUAGGGGUCUGCGUUCAGAAGCUCCGGACUGUCGAUGGUCUGUUCUGCGGCUUCGGUUGCGGUAAUGGACCGUCGCGUGUUUGGUGUGGACGGGUGUAGAAAGCUUCGGCGUUCCCUAGGCGACGAACAACCAACUCAGAACUGGUACGGACAAGGGGA
rnacentral:rRNA from 1 species